UCCCUGGUGGUCCAGUGAUUAGGACUCGACACUGUCACUGCCGAGGGCCCGGGUUCAAUCCCUGGACAGGGAA